rnacentral:rRNA from 1 species
UACAGAGGGUGCAAGCGUUAAUCGGAAUUACUGGGCGUAAAGCGUGCGUAGACGGUCAUGUAAGUCGGGUGUGAAAGCCCCGGGCUCAACCUGGGAAUUGCAUUCGAGACUGCAUGGCUAGGGUGCGGAAGAGGGAAGCGGAAUUUCCGGUGUAGCGGUGAAAUGCGUAGAUAUCGGAAGGAACACCAGUGGCGAAAGCGGCUCCUGGUCCAGCACCGACGUCAGGCACGAAAGCGUGGGGAGCAAACAGG